rnacentral:lncRNA from 1 species
UUUCUACGAAAAUCAAACCCUAAAAUAUAUUUUUCUCAAAAAAACCCCUAAAAUAAACCUUUCAUCGGUUCUUCUUUCUUCUUCAUUCAAACCUUCAAAUCAAAAUCCUUACCUCCUUACCUCCAAAUCGACUUGUUGUUCCUUCUGAUCGAGGCACUUUGUUCUCUUCCAUUUUAAGCUCGAAGUUUUUGCAUCUUUAAGGUUUGUCUUGAAACAUUUUUGAAUUAUUGAAUGAUUUUCCGCUCUAUUUUCAUCUUUGUUUAAAUUCUUGAAACAUUUUUGAAUUAUUGAAUUAUUUUCGCUCUAUUUGCAUCUGUUUCGCUUUCGCUCCAUUGAAUAAUUUUCAGCUCUCUUUAUUUUCCUUUUCCACUUACCUGUUUGCUGUUGUGGAGAAGGUUACAAUUCAUUUAGGGAAAAAGAAACUGAACUUGUGGGG